rnacentral:lncRNA from 1 species
GUCUCUACGACUGACCAAGAGCCAAGGAAAACCUAGCAGUUAAUUUGCUACUGUGCCUCCUGCUCAUUGUUGCCACAUUGAGAUUCCACCUGUCACUGCUCUGCUCCAGAACUGUGCGUGGCUCCCAUCUGCUUCCACAGCACAACCUGGACUCCCUGGCUGCUGCGCUAGGCCUUGUUCUCCUGCCAACCCAGCUGACCUGCCUGGGCCCUUACCCAUCUCUACCGCUCAUGUUUUCCCUCAUGGCAUGUGUCCCUCCCACUCCCAGUAGCAACUGCAAACACUUAUCAAGUACCUACUGGGUGCAGGCACCAUGCUUAAUUCUUCAUCUGCAUAAUCUCAUUUGAUUCUCUCAAACCUUCACAUGGCAGGGACAGAAGUUUUCAUUUUACUGAUGAAGCAACUUAUGCACACAGUGAUUCUUAAAAUGUGGUUCCUGUGUCAGCAGCAACAGCACCUGGUGACUUCUUAUAAAUGCAAACUCUGAAACUACACCGCUAUGAAUCAGAAACUCUGAGGGUGCGGCCCAGCCAUCUCUAUUUUGAUAAGACAGCACCCCCACCAGUGUUACUGAUGCACACUUGACUUUGAGACCUGCUGCUCAAAGAAGGGGUGAAGAGGUGAAGCGACUGCUGGAGUUUGUCACCAGGCAGAGGUCUAAAGGAUGGCAGACGAUCACUAGGCAGGGUGUUUAUGAUCUCACUGAGCACCAUACCCGGGCCAAGCACUGGGAAUGCUGCAGUGACCCCACAGUCUUGGGGUGGGUGGGGAAAAGAGAAAGGUCAGAUAGUCGGGGAAUUGCCACAUAAGAUGACCAGGCUUAGGUGGGCCAAGCCCAGGAGCCUAUAGCAAGAUAGAAGGGGUCAAGGCUUUCCCAAGUACAUACCCAAGCUUGAAAAAUAAGUUGUAACUAGUUAGAUGAAGAAGGGUGGGAAUGAUGUUUCAGGUGUAGGGACUAUAUGGUACAAAGGCCCUGCAGAGCUACCUGGGGGUAGUUCAGUCUUGAAGAUGAAGGGCAAGAGGAUUAGGGAGGAAGGAGAGAAUGAGGGAAGCAACAGUGGAGAGCAUUGGAGAGAGGACCUUCACAGGUUUUCUUGGGGUCCCCACCCAGUCAGCUUUCCAAGCAGCUCAGAGGAGCAGCUGGCAGUGGGUGAGGUCUGUGUGCCACAUAUCCUGAGCUGAGUGCCACGUGGCAGAAGCAGCCCCGUUGAGUCAUGGGACACAUAGCCACACUACUUUGUAGAGUUUGGUGUGUGGAGUAUUUUUGUUUUUUACAGCCCAGCUGUCUGUGUAAUGACUUCCUUCCCUCGGCCUUGUUCACGGAGGUGUCCCUGAGCGACCAGCUGAGUCACCACAUUCCUUGCAGCUUAAAACACUGGCCCCAGUACCAAGGCCCGGUUCCUUCGUGUAGAUGGGACCUUUCAAGGCAGCUAUGGAGUGCCCAGAAAGACAAGCUAUAGAAUUCCCAUUUCGAACCCACACCCUUCCCCCAAAACAUGAUUAAAAACCAAGUAAAAAUGGAGAGAAAUUCUAUCUGCUGUGCAUGAGGGAAUGACCACAGCCGUGUGUCAUGGCCUGAAGAAUUAUUUGUCAGCGAUCAUGAAGUAGAU